rnacentral:rRNA from 1 species
GUGGGGAAUCUUGCACAAUGGGGGAAACCCUGAUGCAGCGACGCCGCGUGAGCGAUGAAGCCCUUCGGGGUGUAAAGCUCUUUCGGCAGGAACGAUUAUGACGGUACCUGCGGAAGAAGCUGCGGCUAACUACGUGCCAGCAGCCGCGGUAAUACGUAGGCAGCAAGCGUUGUUCGGAGUUACUGGGCGUAAAGGGUGUGUAGGCGGUGUCCUAAGUUCGGUGUGAAAUCUCCCGGCUCAACCGGGAGGGUGCGCCGAAAACUGGGACGCUCGAGCGCGGGAGAGGAAAGUGGAAUUCCUGGUGUAGCGGUGAAAUGCGUAGAUAUCAGGAGGAACACCGGUGGUGAAGACGGCUUUCUGGACCGCUGCUGACGCUGAGACACGAAAGCGUGGGGAGCAAACAGGAUUAGAUACCCGUGUAGUCC